rnacentral:rRNA from 1 species
AUUGAACGCUGGCGGCAGGCCUAACACAUGCAAGUCGGGCGAGAGGCGGACGGGUGAGUAAUGUAUGGGGAUCUGCCUGAUGGAGGGGGAUAACUACUGGAAACGGUAGCUAAUCCCGCAUACCAUCAGAUGAACCCAUAUGGGAUUAGCUAGUGGGUAAGGUAACGGCUUACCUAGGCGACGAUCCCUAGCUGGUCUGAGAGGAUGAUCAGCCACACUGGGACUGAGACACGGCCCAGACUCCUACGGGAGGCAGCAGUGGGGAAUAUUGCACAAUGGGCGCAAGCCUGAUACAGCCAGGCCGCGUGUAUGAAGAAGGCCUUCGGGUUGUAAAGUACUUUCAGUCGGGAGGCGUUACCGACAGAAGAAGCACCGGCGAACUCUGUGCCAGCAGCCGCGGUAAUUC